AAAGGCGGCCAGAGCGGUGGGGGAACACCCGUACCCAUUCCGAACACGGAAGUUAAGCCCACCAGCGUACCGGGAAGUACUGGAGUGAGCGAUCCUCUGGGAACCGCGGUUCGCCGCCUGCC
rnacentral:rRNA from 5 species